rnacentral:snRNA from 1 species
UUACUUACCUGGCAGGGGAGACACCAUGACCAUGCAGGUGAUUUUCGCAGGGUGAGGCUCAUCCCCUGCACUCCGGGUGUGCUGAUCCCUGCGAUUUCCCUUAAUGGGGGAAACUCGACUGCAUAAUUUGUGGUCGUGGGGGACUGCGUUCGUGCUCUCCCCUG